GGGCGGGGCCCGCCGCUCGGCCGCCGCCCCAUUGGUCGCAGCUCCGCCAGCCCCUCGCUUCGGGCCCGCAGCCGGGCGCCCCGGGCCGAGGGCGCGGGCGGCUGAGGACUGCGGGGCUCCGACCGCCAGACAGGCGGACAGACCCAUAGACCUAGAUGCUGCCCUGCCGGCCGCGCGCCCCCGCCCAGGCCCAAGUGCAGAGUCACCCCGGAGCGGCAGGCGCUGUCCGGGUGGGACCAGGAGCGCGCCCCGCGCCUCCCACCUGCGCGCCCUCCUGGGCCGGAAGCGCCGUGGCCCUGCGGGAAAAAGAUGACCUCCCCCGCGGCCCCGGCGGCUGGGGCAACCGCCUUUCUAAAGUCGCGGCCCAAGCGACACUUUGCUAAUUUGCCUGGAUUUCCUCAGGAAAUCGCGAGGCCCAAACUUGUUUUAAAACAAAGUGCGAAGGAGAGUACAUAUAGCUCCAGUUCCUGCCAAUGUUUGCCAUCGGUCCCGCUGCCUGAAGACUCAGGCACAGUGCAGAACAAGAUGCUUUGUCUUAUUCCUCCACUCACCGAGUCAGAAGAGGUGCUUGGACAUUUGCACCAAGCAGAUGCGCCUCAUAUGUAGAAGAGGAACCAGUCGGGUCCCCUUUCGGAAGGACGAAUGGAAGAGGAAGUCAGGGGACGAUGCCUUCAGCCGACGUUGAGGAACAAACCAGGACCUCGGCGAGGACAGCGUGUGGUCCAGAAGGCAUCGCUGGCCUCGCUGCACUGAGCGAGAGCGCUCAGUUAACAGCCAGGAGGAGAAAUGGGACGCUUCGGGACCCACCCCCGCGCUCCCCCUCCCGCCCCCAAACUGCAGAUUUUUAAGUUGUGCAGACGUGGAACAAUUCCUCGGAGCCAGCUGCUCCAAGCUAAGGCGCCCAGUGUUCCCUGGGUUCCUACCCGCAGCAUACGCCCUGCCAGCUGCCCCCAAGCCAGCACCCGCUGACCACUCACCUCAGGCAAGCACCUAGGAAGACGAUGCAGAUUCAAGCUCCAGACCUUGAGCCAAGCGCUGGGGAGGGAAUGGGGGCAAAGAGAUGGUGGAAAACACUUUCCUGAACUUACUGAAUACCCUAUGUUAUGUGUGGGUUUUCUAAUUGUUCUUUGCUUAAUGAAAAACCCACGUUGGAAAUCAGAAAAAGGCAGUAAUCCUCACCGUAUCUUGUGGGCUUCAAAGAGGAGGUUUUCCCCUUAAAGGGAGUUUUGGUCCAGAGGAGAGGCUAACAGCAGGCAGGAAGGGCAGAGGAAAAGAUAAAGCCUAGGGUGGUCUUCCCCCUGAGGCCUGGAGCCCACCAAGCUCCAACAGUUUCAUUUGGCUUCUGGGAAGCAAAGUACAGAUGCAUGUGUCUGCAGAGCACUGUUCUGAGCCAUUUGUCCCUAAUUCCAUGGUUCUUUGGUUCCUCCAAUCUUGUCUCCUCUCCUGUGGAAGAGGAUCCAAAGCAUUGGUCCACACUGCUAUUUACAAGUGGCUGAAGAAGGUAACUUUCUUACAUAGUUCAUCUUUAGCAUAAGCUCUAAGAUUGUUCUAAAAAUAUAUUUACAUUUUAUCAACACCUUAGAAGAAUGCUUCCAGAUCUCUCCCAGCAGUUACCUAUUUAAUCAUUUUAAAAUCACUAAGUUUAUCCAAAAAGUCCAGCAUGGUUUACUUGAGAAGGAAAUAUGUUCAGAAUCUCUAAGCACUGCAGAAGGCACCUGCAGUGCAGAAGAGUUGGCAGUGAGGUCUUUCUCCUGGGGUCUGGGCGGAACAUGUGAGCAGUCGGGAAGGCACACACAGUGGGAGCCAGUAAGGGCCCCUGUGCAUCUGCAGGAGCUGAGGACAGAAGGGGUGGGCCUCCACGGUGGGCAUGUAGGAGUGGGCACAGAGAAGGGCCACAGAUCUGAGACAGAGACAGACAGGACUUCUUACCCUGCUGAGCCCUGCAGGGAGCCACUUCGUCUUUCAGCCCUGAUUUUGUCAUCUGUAAGGAAAUUUCCUCUCUCCCAGGGUAAUCAUGUGAAGCCAAUGAAAUAAUAAAAAGGACCACAUCGGAUGACCCCUGAGGCAGGUCUGCUCCCCAAAAGUUUACUCUUGAAUGUUGACCAAGGUUGAGCUAGGCAAAGUGGUAAAUUCACACACACGGUAUGUAGCCCCUUCCCCAACCCCAGUCUCCAUUACCGGGGGCAUGCUGUGAACUAACUGCCUCCUUUUCCCCACACACCCACUUCCUGCCCAGUCUUUAUGCCUCCCGAUAUGACAUCCCGUUCCCUCUUAAUUAACUGUGCCUAUAGAGAAACAUCUAGAUAAACCAUGCAUUUAAUCUGUGAGGGGUCAAUCAUUUAAUCAUCGUUGACAAUAAUGCUCACUCCUCUGUGGUUUCAGAGGACUCCUGGAGUGGAUGGAGACACAUGCCACUAAUGUGGGAUGCAUUUCAGUCUGUCUUCCAGGCCUCGUUUGGAGGUCUCCCUCUCUUACCCACCUAUCACACAUCCAUGUCUUCCCUUCCCUCCCCAGAGCCAAACCUGUCCCCGACUUUUUAUUCUCACUAAAGUUCAAAUGACAGAAAUCAGCUAGAUUAGUACUUGCCUUAGUCCUGAAGGAAAGGGAAGUGCUCAUUAGCUUCUUAAAUUGGAACAGGUCUGCAGGUGAAAAUGAAGAUGUGCUCAUCUCUGGCAGGAAGGUUGGGAGUGAGGGGUAUAGUCAUAAUGAGCAGCGUUUAUUUGGUGUGUGCCUCUCACUUGCCACUUUCUACCCAGCUGCCUGAAUAUCACUCCAGUUAGUCUGAGCACAUGAAACACCUGCAACUCCCCAGACCCACCAUGCUUUUUCUUGACUCUCUGAAUGCACAGCAGUGCCUCCUCAGCUAAGAACACAGUUCCCCAUCACCAAGCUUUGCUUUGCCCAACAGACCCCUUCUCCCUUAGGAUGAGAUUCAGUGGAUAAUCACAUCAUAAUCACGACCCUCUGGGAAGCCGCCUCUCUCAUCCUGGGUUGUGUGUUGUGUGUUUCCUUUCCACACUCCCUCAGCAGCCUUUGCCUCCCACUUUCAUAGAAUCUACCAUAUGGGAUUUUAACUGUUUGUCUUCCACUAGACAAUAAGCUCCUUGAAGACUGAAUUUCCAGGAACUUCUGUUGGAUCUGCAUGUUUGUGAAGUGAAUUACUGAAGGCUGCCCAGUUUCAUCUGAUCCUAGUCAAAACCUAAAUCCCUUAUUUCUACGCUACCUUUUGCCAGCACCUGAAAAUGAUGCCAGGUUUCUGGAAUCCACGGCAGCAAUGGGUGAUAAGUCUCCAGCAUCUGGGUGACAGCAGACUGACUCUGCUCUCAAGUCUCAUUAAUCCACAUUGUAAGUCACACUAUGUCCCUUUGGCUCCAUUUUCUUACCUGUAAAAUGGGGAUUUUGAACUUACUAAUAUGCCAGACACAAAGCUAAAGAAAGGAGCUGAAGAGACAGGAUAAAAAAGACGAAUAAUAGGUUCCUCCCUGUAAGAGCUCACAAUUCAGUGGGCUGACAUCAUCGGCCUUAUCCACCAGAUAGAGUGUUAGAAUAACAGGAUAGCAGGAUAGAGAGUUGAGAGAUAAAAGCACCAUAUAAUGUGACAGGAACUGCCACUUGUCACUCAAUUUCCAUUCUGCCCUGCUAUCUUAGUAACAGAACUCCUGUUUUUAUGGGGCAGACAUGUCCCCAACUAAACACAUUAUAUUUCCCAGCCUCUCUUGCAACUAGUGUAGAGAAACCAACUUUUAGAACCAGAUGUAAGCCUAUACAUUCUCUUAUGUUUCCAGGGAGUCUUUUUAAAAAGGGGAGCCAUGCCCUUUUCCCUUUUGUCUUCCAACCUCCUCCCUAGAAUGUGGAUGAGGUGACUGGAGUUCUUGCAGCCAUUUGGGGCCAUGAGAACAAUGGGUACACCUUAGGGAUGGCAAAGAGUGAGCUAAUUGGAAUAUGGGGCCCUCACCUCUUUGCAGGGCUAUUUUAUCCAUGUUGUAUACUGCAAAUCACUGUACUUCUCUCACCUGAGAAACAAACAGCUAACUUGUGUAUAGAUGUGUGUGUAUGUGUGUAUUAAUGCAACUGAUUCCACUCUCAACUGAUGAACGAAAAUAUUUAAUAUUAAUAAGUAUUACACAUAAUCCCUACUUUAUUUAGCUCCUAAAGAUCUCAUGAGAUUUAUUUUAAAACUAACAUGCUUCAAGAAUUUUUUUAACUUCUGGAAUAUCAAGUGAUAUGGUGGUGCUGAGCAAUGCAGGUAUUUUCACAACUAUCUUUAGGAGAUUCAAAUCAAUGCUUGGGCUCAGGUCACUUUAUGACUGAGAAGUCUGGAAAAUUGUAUUUUCUUUUGAAGUAGCAGGUGAACUUGUAGGACAAUAAAUCAGCUAGACAUGACUUGAGCCCUCAUGUACCCUCAUUCACAAGCAUAUGCACACGCUUACCUGCAUGGAUGGACAUGUACUUUCAGGAAGCCACACUAUGCAUCACACGCAUGCAUAGCCACACACAGGUACACUUUCACAUCCAUACUCAAUAGCAGGCUCCAGUGGAUUUCCUGCAAUUUUGAAGGCCCUGGAUUUUCCCUUCACCAGAACACUACGUUAUUAUGAGUUAUUAUUUUCAAGGACUUGGUUAUACAAGGCUGGAAGUGGUGUGAUGAGUCAUAAAGAGCAAGAGCAAGAAAGCUUAGUAGUCAGUCCUUGAUGGUGAAGGUGGAUUCAUGGAAAAGCAGAGAAAGGCAGAUUCCCUACUACACAUAAGUUCCAGGGUCAGAAGGAGAAUCCUGAUGAGCCAGGGGCAGUCUGAACAUCCAGAGGCCUCACCUUCAUGGAGGAUACUGCAUGAGAGUGUGAGUUAAGCUCCUCCCUGAGCUCCUGUCCUCCCCGCUCCAGGCCUGCUCCUCUAGACAAGCAAUUUUCAAUUGAUUCGAUCACUGCUUGUAUAUUUUGCUAUCUCUUUGAGCUCAGCCUCUAGCUCUGAUCCCAGUCCUUUGAGAACCUCCUCAGUGCUGUACACUAUGCUCAGGAUUUAAGAAAACACAAAGAUGAAGAAGACACAGUCUCUGCUCUCAAGAAGUGACAUUCUAUCAAAUAAUUGAGAAAUAAAUAUUGAUAGCCAACUCCAUAAAAAUAGAUAGAUAAUUACAGGAGUUGAUACAAAUCGUAGAACCUUGGCAAAUUCUCAGUUGUCUCAUCUGCAACUGAAGAAUAAUAACUUCUGCCAUCAGCAACUUGUGAGCUUAGAGAAACUACCCUCAUAAAUUAUUUAGGGAUUCCCUCUGCUACUCAACAAACCUUUUACUCAACUCUAGUUUAUUCAACAUUUCCCAGAAAACCCCAUCCAAGUCUUCCCCACUCUAAACCCUGGAAAUCUUCAUACCAAUUCAAUCCCCAGGUCUCAUUCACAGCAGAGAAUUUGUCUACCUACUUACUAAGAAAAAAGGCCAGAAGCAGUGGCUCACGCCUGUAAUCCCAGCACUUUGGGAGGCUGAGGUGGGCAGAUCAUGAGGUCAGGAGUUUGAGACCAGCCUGGCCAAUAUGGUGAAACCCUAUCUCUACUAAAACUACAAAAAUUAGCCAGGCAUGGUGGCACAUGCCUGUAGUCCCAGCUACUCGGGAGGCUGAGGCAGAAGAAUCACUUGAACCCAGGAGGCAGAGGUUGCAGUGAGCCAAGAUAACACCACUGCACUCCAGCCUGGGUGACAGAGAGGGACUCGAUCUCAAAAAAAAAAAAAAAAAAAAAGAAAGAAAGAAAGAAAGAAAAUAGAGGCCACAGGAGUUAUGGCCGCUCAGUUUCCAUCUUGUCUAUCUUGAAGUCUCCCUUUAUCUCCUGCCUUGAAGAAAGAUGCUUAUAUCCAAGUACUUUGGAGAGUCAAAACAAUAAUGACCAAGAAAUCCAAGACCAUAAAAAAAUAGAGUUUUAGGCCGGGCGCGGUGGCUCACGCCUGUAAUCCCAGCACUUUGGGAGGCUGAGGCAGGCGGAUCACGAGGUCAGGAGAUCGAGAUCAUCCUGGCUAACACGGUGAAACCCCGUCUCUGCUAAAAAUACAAAAAAUUAACCGGGCUUGGUGGCCGGCGCCUGUAGUCCCAGCUACUCCAGAGGCUGAGGCAGGAGAAUGGCGUGAACCCGGGAGGCAGAGCUUGCAGUGAGCCGAGAUCGCGC
rnacentral:lncRNA from 1 species